rnacentral:tRNA from 1 species
GCCGGGGUAGCAUAGCUUGGCUAAUGCGCUGGACUCAUGAUAGAGAGCGUGGGUUCAAAUCCCGCCCCCGGCA